UCCGAGUUGACCCCGGCAGUCUCCCAUGAGUCCCCGGCAUGAUCCGCUGGCAACAUAGGACAAGGGUUGCGCUCGUUGCGGGACUUAACCCAACAUCUCGCGACACGAGCUGACGACAGCCAUGCACCACCUGUGAUCCUGCCCCGAAGGGAAGCUCUGUUUCCAGAGCGGUCAGGAACAUGUCAAGCCCAGGUAAGGUUCUUCGCGUCGCGUCGAAUUAAACCACAUGCUCCGCUGCUUGUGCGGGCCCCCGUCAAUUCCUUUGAGUUUUAGCCUUGCGGCCGUACUCCCCAGGCGGGGAACUUAAUGCGUUAGCUUCGGCACGGACGGAGUCGACACCGCCCACACCUAGUUCCCAUCGUUUACGGCGUGGACUAC
rnacentral:misc_RNA from 1 species